CUCCCUCUGUGGCUCUCGCUACUCAGAACUGAAGCUCCUGGGCGCGGGGUUUCCUCUUGCUCUGGGGUUCAAGGCUCCUCUGUGGAGGCACUCACCUCGGCAAAUGACCGCAAUAGGAAAAGAGUAAGCCAAAAGGGAGUGUUUCCAAAGUCUCAAACACAAGCAGCAGAAGAAGCCUUUGCUAAAUGGAAGGAACGUGGGCCCUGGUCUUGCUCAUCAAUACUAUGGCAGUCAGCUAUUAAAACAGAUGCUUCAAACGCUAUGCUGGGCCGACUGCCAGCUGCUCAAUUCUACUGACUUUUGUAGAGCUACACUAAUAUAUCCAGCAUUGUGGGAAAAGAACAGUGAUUCCUCCU
rnacentral:lncRNA from 14 species